CUGGCUCAGGACGAACGCUGGCGGCGUGCCUAAUACAUGCAAGUCGAACGAAGCUUUCUUUCACCGAAUGCUUGCAUUCACCGAAAGAAGCUUAGUGGCGAACGGGUGAGUAACACGUAGGCAACCUGCCCAAAAGAGGGGGAUAACACUUGGAAACAGGUGCUAAUACCGCAUAACCAUGAACACCGCAUGAUGUUCAUGUAAAAGACG
rnacentral:rRNA from 1 species